rnacentral:rRNA from 1 species
AUUGAACGCUGGCGGCAGGCCUAACACAUGCAAGUCGAGCGGAGCGGCUGACGGGUGAGUAAUUCCUAGGAAUCUGCCUGGUAGUGGGGGAUGACGUCAGGAAACGGGCGCUAAUACCGCAUACUCUCAGAUGAGCCUAGGUCGGAUUUGCUAGUGGGUGGGGUAAGGGCUCACCUAGGCGACGAUCCCUAGCUGGUCUGAGAGGAUGAGCGGCCACACGGGAACUGAGACACGGUCCAGACUACUACGAGAGGCAGCAGUGGGGAAUAUGGCACAAUGGGCGCGAGCCUGAUGCAGCCAGGCCGCGUGUAUGAAGAAGGCCUUCGGGUUGGAAAGUACUUUCAGCGGGGAGGCGUUACCCGCAGAAGAAGCACCGGCUAACUCCGUGCCAGCAGCCGCGGUAAUAC